CACUGAAAGCUCCGGUAUAUGUGGGCUGGGUGAGAUCCUUGGGCACUUUCCUGUAGAUAUCGAACCUGGAAGGAAGAGAAAGAGAGGAAUAGGGGAAGAAAAGAAAGAAAAGAAACAAUCCUCGGUUUGUUUGAGACGACACCAAGAAAGAAGCGAAGGUCCGUGUGUAAUAUAAGCCCCUUCAGGAAUGCGUCCAAUCCCUGACUUUUUAAGGAGCUCCCAAACAAAGUCAAACUAUCCAGCCCAGAGUCUUGUGCCCUUUUUCGGCUCUGAAACCUUCACGGCUACAUCACCGCUCAGGUCCAACCCUCUGCCCUCAAAAACACAUCUGUGAACAUUUCUAGCAGUGAAAUGACCCGAGUUGACGCAAUGCUGGAGGGGGGAGAGGGGCUGACUUCCUGUCGAAGCAGACGCCCUGCUGUUUCUCUGCUUCACACCAACCAUACAGUUCACCAUGUUCUGAAAGAAGCGCUCACAGGAUGUAGAAGGUAAAGCUAUUGUGUGAAACCCAGAAGGACACGCUGUUCUUAAACCGCACUGACGUCUUCACUUACAGUACUGUGUAAGACCUGAAGUAGUACUAAAGAGUACAGAGUGGCCCCAAAGUAUUUGGACACUCACACUGCUUAAGGCCCAGUACAAAUGUUUAUCCUUUUUUUUCUUUCUAAAAAUUGCACGUUUCUGUAUGAAUCACAUUUUAUGACACAUCAAACGAAAUCGCCACCUCAUUUUCUCAUGAGAUCAGGUUGGAUUGUCUCAGAACUCAUAUUACCAUAACUGUAAACAGAGUCUAAAUUCAAUUUUUAGAUAACUUCAAGAACAAAAAUCUUAAAGGUUUCAAAUGGGGGGUUUUGUGGCGAUGCCUCAGAAGAACCAUUUUUCUUCCCCAAAGAACUUUUGAACGAUUGAAAGGUUAUAUGAAUGUCUUUAUCUGAAAACCCUUUCAGUCUACAUACAGUACCGUAUUAUUUAUCUCUCUACUUAUAUGUGCAAGGAAAACAUGCACAAAAGCAUGUUUUGCGUCUUGGAUUUCCUCAGCUGGAUUACCUCUGGUUCUCAGUACAGUUCAAAGGCGUUCAGCACACACACACAAGUGUGGAUUAGGCCAAACGCACGCUUUUCAGCGCAUUGCAUAACAGCCGUAACAUUUACACGUUCCCUCAGGCUGUGGAGGAGUUCACUGCUCGGAUAUAUCUGCCAGAUAUUUCAUAUUUCCUGCGUUACAACAGCAACAAACACCCACAGCUGCUCUGCGAGGCAAUACGUCAGAGUCCAAAACAGGCACAAGACUGUCCCACAGCAACACAGCCAUGUGUUUAUCAUACAACACUGCACAAGUGUUUCUUAAGAAGAGUCUGAAUGUACAGUGUGCAAUGUUUGGAUUCGAUGUUGACUACAUUUGUUUUACGAUUAAUCCAUUAUCAAAUUCGCUUAUCGAUUAUUUUACAGAUUUUAUUGAUUCGCUUGGAAAGCCAGCUGUGAGGUCAGCUGGCUGUAAUGGCCUGUGGUAUAUUGUGUGUCACACCGCAGGAGGUUUACGAGUCUAUUCUCAGGCAAACGCCACCAUUCUCUGCGUCUUUCUGAAGAGGAAGUGAUGUUUUAUUUCAGGCUUGUUUGUCACUUUCAUUGGUGUAUCAGAUAAGUCAACAGAUGACCUAAAAGGAAGCGUGAUUGUAAACAAGGAAACAAGGCUGUGUUGUCGCCUGAGCAACCAAUAUUUGGGUCAAUGACGUGACGGGUCAUGUUUUUGUCCAAAGGCCUUAAUAAUAAUUAAAAACAAAGAUAUGACAUCCAAAAUAUGUAAGGUGGUACAACUAGACCUGUUUUAUUGACUUUAAAAGGUUUUAAUUAUAUUUUGAUACAUAUAAAAGGUAUUUUAAAGUGUCAAAAGGUCAUUCGGUUUAACCGUCCAACUGUUCAUUUGUGAUUAAAAUAUCUUAAAACUGUAAUAAAUGUAUAUAUUAUUUAAUCUGGCAUGAUUUUAUAACAUCAUAUAUCAACAUAGUAUUAAAAUUAUGUGUAGAAGUCGUUGCUUUGUUAUGAGAAAGAAUGUCCGGAAAAAUGAAUUUCAUUGAUGUCAUUCGGAGUAACCAAUAUAAAGGGACCAUUUUGGAUCAAGUCAUGCGGUCAAUAUCAUGUGACAGGACGUGACAUCAUUCAGACACCUGCAAAGGACCAUAUGGUCGUGAAGCAAAGUAACUAACUCUCUCUUAACUAUUUGACAAAUUCAUGUUUUCACUUGAUCAUACGCAUGUCCCGAAACAUCAGGUCAUUCGGUACAACCGCUAUAAAACAUGGAAAAUGUUGUAAUAUUUUUAAAACUUGUACUAAAUAUAAAAUGUAUGAUUGUCCUUUUGUUAGCUAGCUAGAUAUCAGCCUGUUAGCAUUGUUUGAAAAUAUCGUCAUUCGGUAUAACCAAAAGUGUCAUUCGGUAAAACCGAAAUUUUGGUUAAACCGAAUGACUUCUUUGGUGACAAAUCUUGUAAAAAAUGAUAAAAGCAGUGUUAACUGAUUAUAAAAACCACAUAAUCUCAUUGUUAACACUUAAUAAAACUUAAAAAUUAAUUAUAUCUCCAUUAUGUUUUUUUUUUUUACACUUUUAAAAAACAUGAUGCAAUAUUACAACACCCGCAGUCCUACAUCUGCACAUGCUCUGUGUGACUCUGUUGAAAGCCAGCCAAAGACAAAAACACUGGAUGUUACAAGUUUCAAAUUACAACUGCCUAAAUAGCUGAAAAAAUAGGUUGAAACUUUACCAGCCUCAGAACGUCCAGAGCAAACAAAGACAGGAAACACUCCAUUCAAUCAGAAUCUGUCUACAGUCAGAUUACAGUCUCAAGAGAAACUAGAUCAUUAUGAGGAUAGACUUUUUUUAUUACACAUUAAUUUUCAGCCUGAUUUUCAGCCUGUUUCCUUUGAAUCCUGUAAAGCCAUUGUUGAAAGUCUAAGAUCAACUUCAUUUUCUCUAGAUAUCAUUCCAUCUAGAUUUCUAAAACAGACACUAAACACUAUCUUUAACACUAGUCUGGGGUUGUUCCUGACUGCCUAAAAACAGCUACAGUAACUCCAUUAUUAAAGAGGCCCAAUCUUGAUUCUUCGAACUUUAAUAACUUUAGGCCUAUAUCAAACUUGUCAUUUCUCUCUAAGAUUCUUGAGAAAAUUGUUUUGACCCAGCUGCAGUCCCAUUUGACGUCAAAUAAUAUUCCUGAAAAAUUUCAGUCGGGUUUUAAGCUCUGUAUUUGAUAUAGUUGACCGCAACAUUUUGAUUUCCAGGUUGGAGAGCUGUGUUGGACUACAGGGAAAGGUAUUGAAUUGGUUUCAAUCUUUUUUUUAACUAACAGAAGCUUUAAUGUUUCUAUUGGCCAACAUAGUUCAUCCUCACACCCACUUGCUUGUGGGGUGCCACAGGGCUCAAUUCUUGCUCCAAUUUUAUUUUCUAUAUUCAUGCUGCCAAUGGGUGCUAUCUUUGAGAAAUUUGGAGUGUCAUUCCACCUUUAUGCGGACGAUACUCAGAUGUAUUUUCCCUUGCAGCAUAAAAGUAAAGAUUUUUUAGGACCUCUGUUGAAUUGUCUAAACGAAUUACAAAAAUGGUUAAAGCAGAAUCUCUUAGUGUUAAACGAGAACAAAACCGAAAUCAUUCUGUUUGGUGCAAAGACUGUGCCCUUCAUUUUGGUCAUCUGUCUUCCUACCUUACACCUCGUGCCAAAAAUCAUGGUGUUCUUUUUGAUUGCAACCUGGGUUUUGAGAAACAAAUUAGCGCAGUGGUCAAAUCAUGUUUUUUCCACUUACGGCGUUUAUCAAAAAUCAACAGUUAUUCACUUGUUUGUUCUAUCUCGUCUAGAUUACUGUAAUUCACUUUACUAUGGUAUGAGUCAGUCUUCUACAGUGCGCUUACAGAUGGUCCAAAAUGCUGCUGCAAGAUUGAUUUCAGGCAGACGAAAGUUCGACCACAUCUCGCCCAUUCUUAUUUCACUAAACUGGUUACCAGUUAAAUUUAGAAUUAUUUUUAAAAUUUUAAUUUUUGUUUACAAAUCCUUGCACAAUCAAGCCCCACCAAUCUCUAUUUAUAAACCAAAUAGGUCCCUAAGAUCCAGUAAUCUUGGUCUCCUCACUGCUCCACGGUUUCAUUUCAGAGGUGAUCGAGCCUUCGCUGUUGCUGGUCCUAGUCUAUGGAACAAUUUACCAGCUUCUAUUACAGCUGCGCCUUCUUUGCCCAUAUUUAAAUGCCGGCUUAAAAAUCAUUUUAUGUCAAUAGCUUUUAUCUAGCCAUGUAAAUUGUUUUGUUUCGAUGUUUUGUUGUCUCUUAUUUAUUUUAUUCUACCUGUAUUGUACAGCAUUUUGGAUCAACCAGUAGUUGUGUGAAAGUGCUUUAUAAAUAAAGAAAGAAAGAAAGAUUGAUAAAGCAAAAUGAAAACCAUUUGGAUUAUAUUACAGCUUCUGACAAAAAGGCUGUAUUAAAUUAGUGGUAGAAUAAAACCGAUUUAAUUCAGAUUUUUCCUCAUAUCUUGACUUUAAGUAAAGUUUAAAUAUGUGACGUAUAACAAUUAGUAGGGAUGUACCGAUAUGAACAUUUUGGCCGAUAAUUCUUUAUAAUUGAAAGCCGAUAACCGAUAUAUUGGCCGAUAAAUCUAAAUUUUUAUAUAAUUUUUGAGAGCCUGAUUACAAAAACAAAAGUUUCACCAUUAAAUCCAUGUCCCAAACACAUGAUUAUAAUGUUCUCAUUAUAAUUUUAUGUAUUUUAUAUGAUGCACAUGUUGUACUGAACUGUAUUUUCCUUUUUGAAGUGAUUUCAAAAAUAUUUCAAGCAAUUCAACACCAUCAUGGUGAACAGUGCACAUCUGAAGUGUCUCAGCUGAAGGAAAUAAUCCAUUAUUUAUCGCCUUUAAUAUAUCAGCCAAGUUUUCUUAUCGGGCCGAUAAAGAUAACAUUAAAAAUGAACAUAUAUCGGUCGAUACCGAUAUGGUGGCCGAUAUAUCGUGCAUCCCUAACAAUUACAGAUAAAUUUAACUUGGACGACUUUUAUAAAAUUUGAGCUUAGUAAGAUUUUUUUUUUAACGCUGUCAAAUCGAUUAAUCGCAUGUAACAUACACAUAUAUAUUUACAAACUUUAAUGUUAGAUGCAAUUAAUCGAUUUGACAGCACUAUUUUUAUACUUUUAUUCCGCAAAGAUGCAUGAAAUUGAUCAAAAUUUACAGUAAAUCCGGAAAAAAAAAAUCAUAAUAUUAAGUAGCAAAUCAUGAUCAUGUGACGCUGAAGACUGGAGUAAUGAUGCUGAAAAUUCAGCUUUGAUCACAGGAAUAAAUUACAGUUUAAAAUAUAUUCACAUAGAAAACAGCUAUAUUAAAUUUUUAUAGUAUAGUUUUUGGUCAAAUAAAUGCAGCCUUGGCGAGCCAAAAUAAUAAAAACCUUUUGUACGGUAUAAUAUUUCUGGAAAUCAAAACUAUUAAUCGUAUUUUUGUGUAUGUGUGUGUUGAUUUGUCCUCUAUAACUCCAGCACAAAAACACGUCGUGAUAACAACAUUUACAUUUAAACUACUAAAAAAGACAUAGUAAAGGUUAGUUGCACGCACCCUGAUCUACAGAAAUGCUUUCUCUUAAUUCUGUGUGUAUAAAACCAUUCAGCGUGUACAUUACUGAUUCACUGUGAAUCU